rnacentral:misc_RNA from 1 species
UCCGCAUGCUGCUCGCAUUAAAACACUUUGACCCCUGAAAACAAAUGCACUUACCAACUUAGAUUCAAAUUCUACUUGCCUUAAAAAACAGGUAUUUAUGCUAGCCGACUAUAUAUACAAAAAGAGAGGGAAGAAAACAGAAGCUCCAAAUCACUCUUCGUUGGUAUGUCUCUCUAACAUUCCCUUGAUCAAAUAUUUGUCCUGCUGCCAGAAUCAUGAAAAUUAGAGACCCCUCCGAUGGAAUCCUGAAAAUUUGUGACCAGUACUCAGAAUCUACAUCUAUCAAGGAUGCAUAAAAUCACAAGUUACAAAUUAAGAUCCAAGAAUCCCUUGAUCAACCAUAUACUCAAUAUGAGAUGGAAAACAACCCCUUAACAGCAAAUCUCCAGUAUCAGUACCAUUUGCAAAGAACAAUGUUUCAUCAAAAAUAAAG